UUCAGAUCAGGCUUACCUCCUUAGUGCCGUCAGGUUUGGUGAUUGUUACAGUACACUUCCCAUCGGCCCUGGCAGUGACCAGACCCUUAAGGCUUACGGAGGUAUAUGGCAGCCUUGCCGUAGAUUUGCAUCUCAGCGUCCGUACUCAUGGUGACGGAUCACUAGCAAACAGAUGAAACAAGAAACAUGAUUGACUCUGUGGUGCUUCCUCCCCAGUCAACAGAGUUAGAUGAAUGUGUACUUCUUGGAGGACCCUGUGAAACAUAAGGUGUUGUGAAAACGCACAAGUCUAAAGCAGUUGAGGCUGCUGAGGGAGG